rnacentral:sRNA from 1 species
UGAUUCUGGUUGUAUGUGUUUUUAAUGA